GGCUCAGGAUGAACGCUAGCUACAGGCUUAACACAUGCAAGUCGAGGGGGAACGACAUCGAAAGCUUGCUUUUGAUGGGCGUCGACCGGCGCACGGGUGAGUAACGCGUAUCCAACCUGCCCAUCACUUGGGGAUAACCUUGCGAAAGUAAGACUAAUACCCAAUGAUAUCUCUAGACGACAUCUGAAAGGGAUUAAAGAUUUAUCGGUGAUGGAUGGGGAUGCGUCUGAUUAGCUUGUUGGCGGGGUAACAGCCCACCAAGGCAACGAUCAGUAGGGGUUCUGAGAGGAAGGUCCCCCACAUUGGAACUGAGACACGGUCCAAACUCCUACGGGAGGCAGCAGUGAGGAAUAUUGGUCAAUGGGCGAGAGCCUGAACCAGCCAAGUAGCGUGCAGGACGACGGCCCUAUGGGUUGUAAACUGCUUUUAUAAGGGAAUAAAGUGAGUCUCGUGAGACUUUUUGCAUGUACCUUAUGAAUAAGGACCGGCUAAUUCCGUG
rnacentral:rRNA from 1 species